CAAGGAAAUCUGGCGCGGUUCAAUACCUCGUCUAGCCUGGGUUCCAGUACCUAAUUUUUUUUACUGACAAACUCAUUUCUCUACCGGGACAGGAUGCUGUGCUGGCUGCAAGUUCCAUUUCUACAGCAAGAAUCCUAUUUGGAAACACAGAAGUUGUCCUCUAGCCACAGCAGCUCGAACUUUUUUGAUUGUUGCUGCUGCCUUCUCCCAUCACCCCCACCCCCUUUUGACAAAGAUCCAACUGUAAAAAGUCUUACGUAACAGUUCAGGACUACUUCGGUUCUUUUACUGGUAUAACAAGAGGCCUCAAGAGGACUAUGAAAACAUUUGUAUCUCCAAGUUGGAGCAGUGUGGGUUUCGGUGUUUCAUAGUACCUCUGGAAAAGGAAAGAAAGGAGCCAUCUUACCAGGUCAGUAGACCAGAUCCACUUUCCGAGGAACUGCCUCAAACAGAAAAGACAGCGAGGAGUCAAGAAUGGUACCCAACUCUCUUUGACUAGAUUAGGAGCCUGGAAUGCCCUAAGAAAUAAGCAAUUUCAAACUGGAAGAAAGAGGAGUUCAGUUUUUGAACAGAAGAUGCACAUUUGUGAUUUAUAAGCAGAGAGCUGUAAGUACAGAAAGAAAACGAUAUGUAAUAGUUAUUGGACACCUACUCUGCACUACAACAGAAGCCAGGAGAGGUAGAGGAAACAAAAGUAUAGUGAAAAUGGCAGACCAAGUUCUAAUGAACACAUAAUUCUAAGUGUGAAAAGUUCUGCAAGAGAGAAAAACAGAUACAAUGAGAGCAAAAAUAGAUGGGACCAAUUCAAUCUUGGGGGUGAGAAAGAUCUGGGAAGUGACCUCAAGAAAGUGAUGUUUAAGUGAAGACUUGAAGGGUAAAUGUAAUUACCGGAGAUAGGUGGGGUGAGCAUUCCAAGCAGAGUGAAUGGAGGGCAUGUUAACUGGCCAGAGAGGCUUAGUGUUUUUGCAAAACUGAAAGUGUGGCGAAAGCACAUAGAAGGCAGGAAAGAAGUCAUGAGACAAGGCUGGAGAAGAAGGCAGGAAUUAAAAAAAGUUACUAACAGUCUUGGAGAGAACAACUUUGGAGUAACAGUCAUGGAUAAGAAAAAAAUUUCUGGAAAGGUUAAGUAUGAAGGGCUUGGACUAAAUAUGAAGGGUAAAAAUUCCAGCUCCAUUACUUAUCAAAGAUGUGAACUUCUGCAAGUUACUUACUCUUUAAAUUUGGGUCAUCUGUAAAUAGGAGAUAUGAUAAUAUUUACUUCACAGGACUACUUGAAGAGUAAGAAUGCAUGCAAAAUAUUUCACACAGAGCCUGACACAACAAAAUACUAAGAUGUGUGUGUGUGUGCGUGUGCGUAUGCAUGCACGUGCACACAUGAGCAAGUAUGCACUAGCUGACAGCAAGUAAAAAGCAGACUGGAAGUUCAAACAAACUGAAAGCGGAACUGUUAACGGUUGCAAUCUUUAAGUUGCAGAAGUAAAGGUGAUUUUUAUGUUUAUUACUUACAACUCAUCUGUGUCUUCCAAGUGUUUAGCAGUAAGCAUGAACUAUUUCAACAAUUAAGAAAAAUUAUUUUUAAAUGUCUUUUUUUAAAAGUAAAGGUUUCUUUCAGAUGUGAAGAUCUACUUAUUUUUGGCUGAAAAGCAGAUGGAAGAAUCAACAGUGUAAAGGAAGAAAAGACAGACUUAUCAAGAAAGGGGACCUGUAGAAAGCACAGCUGCAGGGACAGUAGAAAGAACAGGCUCCAGAGCCAUGGUGGAAGGUGUUCUUUGAAGGGCAGACACAUCAACCUCAGUGAAUGAACACAAUGAAGGAAAUCCCAGCCUAUUCCUGUUCUCUCAAGCUGUAUCUCCAUGAGAUCCACUGGACCUUAUGAUCCCAUAUCUUGGCAAGGGACCUGACAUGUAACAGACAAUAAAUGUUUGUCAAAUGAACUUCUUUAUGAUUCUGGCACAAUUAUAUUUGUAACUUAGGAAGUG